rnacentral:rRNA from 1 species
CAGCAGCCGCGGUAAUACGUAGGUGGCAAGCGUUGUCCGGAAUUAUUGGGCGUAAAGCGCGCGCAGGCGGUCCUUUAAGUCUGAUGUGAAAGCCCCCGGCUCAACCGGGGAGGGUCAUUGGAAACUGGGGGACUUGAGUGCAGGAGAGGGAAGUGGAAUUCCACGUGUAGCGGUGAAAUGCGUAGAGAUGUGGAGGAACACCAGUGGCGAAGGCGGCUUCCUGGCCUGUAACUGACGCUGAGGCGCGAAAGCGUGGGGAGCAAACAGGAUUAGAUACCCUGGUAGUCCACGCCGUAAACGAUGAGUGCUAAGUGUUAGGGGGUUUCCGCCCCUUAGUGCUGCAGCUAACGCAUUAAGCACUCCGCCUGGGGAGUACGGCCGCAAGGCUGAAACUUAAAGGAAUAGGCGGG